UUCUAUUCUUAAUAGGUCUCCUUAAUCUUAUCUUAAGUCAUAGAGGAAGUGCUAGACAUUCUUUGAUUCAUCACGCCGAGUUCUCAAAAUUUAAUAAUAAAGAUUGAAAACUAAUUUUCUUGAGUCAAGGACACCAACAAUAUCCUUACUUGAUUUUCUUAAAUAAUUGGAUUUAGAAAUAAACCAAUUAAAUCAUAAAGACUUUUAUUGCAUGAUGCAAAUGCAAUGUCAUGUCAUGCUUAGCAUAUAAGUAAUUACUUAAAAUAUGCACUUCAUAAUAAUAAUAUUAUUAUGCUAAUUAUCUUUAAAAUAAUUAAUCAAACUUUAUUAUAAGUCUAAUUAAUAAAUAUUGAGUAGCCCAUUUAAAAAUAAUUAAAUCAAAGACACCCUCCCAUUUUUAUAAAAUUUCGUAGCCCAAAAUACAAGGCCCAACUCUUUUGAAUUAAAAGGUCCAACUGAAAUAAAGCCAAGGCCCAAACCCCCAGCCCAAACGUAAAAUCCAAACUCACUAUCACACUCUCUCUUUCCUUCCCCUCACUCACAGCUGCGCCCCCUCUCCCCUAUUUCGUCUCUCUCUCUCUCUCUCCAUUCACGCCGCCCACCGUCCCUCUCUCAGAAUCCGCCGCCGCCGUGGAGCUCGCCGGAGGAGCAGCAGCGACAAGCCGCGCCACCCUCGGCUCUUCCUUCUCUCUGUCGCUCUAUUUCAGCCACCAUCGCCCGUAUAUCGAGCGACGGUGCCGCCUCCCUCAGCUCUCGCCUUUCCAAAAUUGAGCCCUAGUCCCCCAAAUCGUCACCACCCCUUGCGAUUUUCCGGCGACAGCAGCCCAUAGAGCCACCACCGUCACUAUCUCCCUACCUCGGCUCACAAAACGCCUCCCCCUGCCUCUGCUUACCUCUAACUACCAGCGACGACAGCUCACCGCCGUCACCCAUUAUCGCCGCCGGACUCACGGCGAGGAACCUCGCACCGCCUCGCACAGGAAGAGGAAAAAGGCGGCGCCUUUGCCGCCAUGCCGUCGCCGGCGUCGAGUAGCCACCGGGCUGAACCUCACCUCCCUCUCGACUCAUCACACAAGGACAGGAGACUCAUCCCCCCCCCCAAUUCAGUUAACACAUAGAAAUAGGGUUUUUGUUUUAGUUCUUUUCUUUCCAUUUCUUUAUUACAAACACAGAUAUGUAAAUGAACCAAUAAUUGUGAUGCUUUGUAAAAUAUAGUGAUUUGUUGGUGGUGCUCUGUUCGAUUCUGAAAUAAACAUAAGAAAUAAAAUAUUGAUUUAGGAGAAA